GAUGAACGCUGGCGGCGUGCCUAAUACAUGCAAGUCGAGCGAACAGACGAGGAGCUUGCUCCUCUGACGUUAGCGGCGGACGGGUGAGUAACACGUGGAUAACCUACCUAUAAUACUGGGAUAACUUCGGGAAACCGGAGCUAAUACCGGAUAAUAUAUUGAACCGCAUGGUUCAAUAGUGAAAGACGGUUUUGCUGUCACUUAUAGAUGGAUCCGCGCCGCAUUAGCUAGUUGGUAAGGUAACGGCUUACCAAGGCAACGAUGCGUAGCCGACCUGAGAGGGUGAUCGGCCACACUGGAACUGAGACACGGUCCAGACUCCUACGGGAGGCAGCAGUAGGGAAUCUUCCGCAAUGGGCGAAAGCCUGACGGAGCAACGCCGCGUGAGUGAUGAAGGUCUUCGGAUCGUAAAACUCUGUUAUUAGGGAAGAACAAAUGUGUAAGUAACUAUGCACGUCUUGACGGCACCUAAUCAGAAAGCCACGGCUAACUACGUG
rnacentral:rRNA from 1 species